CCACCAAAGGUGAAAGAAUGUACCUUCAGUUUCAUUACAUUUCCAACAUUUAUUAUCGGGCAAAUGAUAGAUUUUUGCAAGCUUGACUGGUGUUAUGUACCACCUGUAAAUCAUUUUCAUUAAAUUCUCUUUUAAGGCAUUGCAUGCCGUAAACUUCAUACCAGUGGUCCAUAACUGUUCCCAGUCAGCCAUCAUAAUAUUAUGUCCAACAUCUUGUGCCCAUUUAAUCAUAGCAGAUUUCACCAUUUCAUUUUGAGUAUUCCAUUUCAACAGCAAGUUAUACAUUCUUGACAAAUUCUUAACUUUAGGGUCUAACAAUUCUGUUUCCAACUUUGAUUUUUCCAUCU